GACGAACGCUGGCGGCGUGCUUAACACAUGCAAGUCGAACGAAGUGGCGAACGGGGGAGUAACGCGUGAGUAACUGCCCCCCUCUCUGGGAUACCAGUUGGAAACGGCUGCUAAUACCGGAUAGUGGGGGUUGACUCGGGUCCUGUCAGCUUGUUGGUGGGGUAGUGGCCUACCAAGGCGACGACCGUGAGCCGGCGUGGGAGGGCGACAGGGCACGUUGGGUUGAGACACGGCCCAAACUCCUACGGGUGGCGGCAGUGGGAAAUAGUGAACAAGCGGGGAGACGCUGAUCCAGCAGCGCCGCGUGCGGGAUAAUGGGCUGGGGGUUGUAUACCGCUUUCCUCCAUGAUGCGGUAGUGGCAGAAGAAGCACCGGCUAACUACGUGCCAGCAGCCGCGGUAAUUC
rnacentral:rRNA from 1 species